GCACCCAUAGCUCAGCUGGAUAGAGCGCUGCCCUCCGAAGGCAGAGGCCAGAGGUUCGAAUCCUCUCGGGUGCGCCA
rnacentral:tRNA from 1 species